AUGGCCGGGAUGUGCCGGCGGGCGACCGUGACCCUGCUGGAGUGCGGGGGGGACCUCCAGCCCCCCGGGGGGUCCCUGACUCUGCUCUGCCACGGGAAUGGAUUCGAUUUUGGGAGCUUUGGAAUGUUCUGGAUCCGCCAGAGCCCCGGGAAAGGACUGGAAUACAUUGGGAGUAUCAACAGCAAUGGUGGCACCGACUACGCGCCGUCGGUCAAGGGUCGCUUCACGAUCUCCAGGGACAACGGGCAGAGCUCAGUGACGCUGACCAUGAACAGCCUCAAGGACGAAGAUUCCGGCGUUUAUUUCUGCGCCAAAAGUGCUGGUGCUGGUGUUGUUGGUGCUAAUUUUGUUAAUCGUUUUGAUUGCAACUGUAUCGUGAACCGGCCCUUCACUGAUGGUGCAUAG